rnacentral:rRNA from 1 species
GUGCAGCAGUCGCGAAAACUUCACACUGUGCGAAAGCACGAUGAGGGAAUCCCAAGUGCUUGCACGUAAGUGUAAGCUGUUUCUCUGUCUAAAACGCAGAGAGAGUAAGGGCUGGGUAAGACGGGUGCCAGCCGCCGCGGUAAUACCUGCAGCUCAAGUGGUGACCGUUAUUAUUGGGCCUAAAACGUCCGUAGCCGGUUUAAUAAAUGCCUGGGUAAAUUGUGUAGCUUAACUAUACGAAUUCCGGGUAGACUGUUAAACUUGAGACCGGGAGGAGUUAGAGGUACUCCUGGGGUAGAGGUGAAAUUCUGUAAUCCUAGGGGACCACCAGUGGCGAAGGCGUCUAACUAGAACGGGUCUGACGGUGAGGGACGAAGCCCUGGGGCGC